rnacentral:pre_miRNA from 1 species
GUGACAUGAGCUACUCCGAAUAGCCAAGGAGGACAUGCCUAUACAUACUCUGAAUACUCUGAAUAGUAAAGUCAGAUGAGAUGUACACAUAUGUGCAUGUGGUGUAGGCAAGUCAUCCUUGGCUACCGAAUCAGCUCUGUCC